UCAUUAGGCACAUGUGAAGAUAACAUGAAGAGUGGAACUUUGUCACAUAGUAGACAGUUAUCGUAACACCCCUAAAGUGGGAUAUCUCACAGGUUUGGUUCUCUAAUGGUGACUACGAAUCAAUAAUAUCUUUAAGUACACAAAAAUUUGAAUGGGGUGAAUGAUUGCUAUCGAUCAGUUCAAUUAAAUUUGCAUUUUUAGAUACAGGUGCAGUAAAGUAAAAAUUUGAGAAAAUAUGAUUCCCAAAAAAUAAAAAAAAAAGUUCAAACCAUUGACUGCAUUAAAAUAUUGACAAGUAAUAAAUCAAGGUUUUCAUUUUCAGUGUUGGUCAUACCAUAUUCAUCAUUUCAUAACGCUAUAAUUAUUUUUUAGAAAGCGUGGAGGACUACUGCAUAUACUGCAACUGUAUCAACUGUGAAAAAGAAAAUGAGGAUUGCACGAUGGUCCAGUGUGAUUCUUGCAAGAGGUGGGCACAUAUACCCUGCAUUGCAGAAGGAACCAAUCAAGAAAACCUGACAGAUGAGAAGAAAGAGUACAGCUGCAAGAAAUGUGCAUAGUUCACUUCAUUACCCC